GACGCUGGCGGCAUGCUAACACAUGCAAGUCGAACGAUGCUUUCGGGCAUAGUGGCGCACGGGUGCGUAACGCGUGGGAAUCUGCCCUUGGGUUCGGAAUAACCGUUAGAAAUGACGGCUAAUACCGGAUGAUGACGUAAGUCCAAAGAUUUAUCGCCCGAGGAUGAGCCCGCGUGAGAUUAGGUAGUUGGUGGGGUAAAGGCCUACCAAGCCGACGAUCUCUAGCUGGUCUGAGAGGAUGAUCAGCCACACUGGGACUGAGACACGGCCCAGACUCCUACGGGAGGCAGCAGUGGGGAAUAUUGGACAAUGGGCGCAAGCCUGAUCCAGCAAUGCCGCGUGAGUGAUGAAGGCCUUAGGGUUGUAAAGCUCUUUUACCCGGGAUGAUAAUGACAGUACCGGGAGAAUAAGCUCCGGCUAACUCCGUGCCAGCAGCCGCGGUAAUACGGAGGGAGCUAGCGUUAUUCGGAAUUACUGGGCGUAAAGCGCACGUAGGCGGCUUUGUAAGUUAGAGGUGAAAGCCUGGGGCUCAACUCCAGAAUUGCCUUUAAGACUGCAUCGCUUGAAUCCAAGAGAGGUGAGUGGAAUUCCGAGUGUAGGAGGUGAAAUUCGUAGAUAAUUCGGAAGAACACCAGUGGCGAAGGCGGCUCACUGGCUUGGUAUUGAACGCUUGAGGUGCGAAAGCCGUGGGGAGGCAAACCCGGAUUUAGAUACCCUGGGUAGUC
rnacentral:rRNA from 1 species